AUUAAUUAGGUGGCGGCGCCUGGGGUCGCAGCACUCCAGAGGCUGAGGUGGGAGAAUCGCUCGAGUCAGGGAGGCGGAGGUUGCAGUGAACUGCGAUCGCGCUACUGCACCCCAGCCUGGGCAACAAAGCUAGACCUUGCCUCAAAAAAAAAAAAAAAAAAAAAAAAAAAGACAUAAUGAAUGCAUCAGGCUAGCUAACAAUACCUCAACUCUGAUCAAUCAUACCAUCAUAUCAUUUCCUGGUGAGAUGCAUAGGAAAUACAGAGCAUCACCUAUUGCCAAAAAUUGAACCUAAUCAAGCCUCAAGAUCUAACUACCAGUUUAUAGGCUAUAUAGAGAUUAGCAGGAAUAUGUUAAGACACCAAAGAGUCUCGCCCUUUUGCCUAGUGGAGGAGCUCGGCUCACUGCAAGCUCCGCGCCACAACCCCCCUGCCGCCCCAGGUUCAAGAGAUUCUCCUGCCUCAGUCUCCCGAGUAGACUGGGAUUACAGGCGAGUGCCACCAUGCCCGGCUAAUUUUUGUAUUUUUGGUAGAGACGGGGUUUCAUUAUGUUGGCCAGGCUGAUCUCGAACUCCUGACCUCAAGUGAUCCGCCUGCCUUGGCCUCCCAAAGUGCUGGGAUUACAGGCGUGAGCCACAACGUUGGGCCAGAAUGCUGGGGUGGAAGAGUUCCCAGUUUUAAAGGAGAAGUACAAGAAGACCUGUAAUUGUUAGCAAGAUAUACAGAACACAGUGCACACAGCAGCGCACUUCUCAAGUCAGCUCCAGGUUCAAGCUCAAAGGCCUAAAGUUUUGCAAACAUCUGGUGAAGAGGAAGAUUUUUGAGACUCUCCCAGCCUAUUACAUAAAGGAAACAUAACCGAGAAUUUUGUCUAAAGGUUUUCAUUUGAAACAAAGCAAGAGCUUCUUUUCCCCACUCCGAAUUAAAACACAGCGCAACAGGGGCCACAUUUAUUUGGCAGGACAGUACCAAUAUGUGAACAUCCUCCUCCUCACUGCCGUUGGGGUGACUUGACUCAUAAGCAGCUGUUCUUACACAAAAUAUUAACCCGAACUGCUAGUGUCACACAGAAGGAAGUGGUCUUGAUUGUGUAUGUGGGCCAGCAUGUUCUACAAAUGCUGAAAGGUGGGAGAAGCACAAAUACAACCCACUCUUUAAA
rnacentral:lncRNA from 1 species